rnacentral:rRNA from 1 species
GGGGGAGAGAUACUAGUGUUGGAGGGUUUCCGCCCUUCAGUGCUGCAGCUAACGCAUUAAGUAAUCCGCCUGGGGAGUACGACCGCAAGGUUGAAACUCAAAAGAAUUGACGGGGGCCCGCACAAGCGGUGGAGCAUGUGGUUUAAUUCGAAGCUACGCGAAGAACCUUACCAGGUCUUGACAUCUUCUGCCAACCUAAGAGAUUAGGCGUUCCCUUCGGGGACAGAAUGACAGGUGGUGCAUGGUUGUCGUCAGCUCGUGUCGUGAGAUGUUGGGUUAAGUCCCGCAACGAGCGCAACCCUUAUUACUAGUUGCCAGCAUUCAGUUGGGCACUCUAGUGAGACUGCCGGUGACAAACCGGAGGAAGGUGGGGACGACGUCAAAUCAUCAUGCCCCUUAUGACCUGGGCUACACACGUGCUACAAUGGAUGGUACAACGAGUCGCGAAACCGCGAGGUUUAGCUAAUCUCUUAAAACCAUUCUCAGUUCGGACUGUAGGCUGCAACUCGCCUACACGAAGUCGGAAUCGCUAGUAAUCGCGGAUCAGCAUGCCGCGGUGAAUACGUUCCCGGGCCUUGUACACACCGCCCGUCACACCAUGAGAGUUUGUAACACCCAAAGCCGGUGGGGUAACCUUUUAGGAGCUAGCCGUCUAAGGUGGGACAGAUGAUUAGGGUGAAGUCUAAAAGGGGGGAACAAAAAAGUUCGGCGGUCCCCGCGCCGGUGUCCC